rnacentral:tRNA from 1 species
GGAUCAAUAACUUCUUAGUUAAGGUAUUUGAUUUUCAUUCACUUAGUCUCAGGUUCGAAUCCUGAUUUACCUA